ACUCAAAGGAAUUGACGGGGGCCCGCACAAGCAGCGGAGCAUGUGGUUUAAUUCGACGCAACGCGAAGAACCUUACCUGGGCUUGACAUGUGGGUCGUACCCGUGGAAACACGGGGUCGGUUCGGCCGGACCUUCACAGGUGGUGCAUGGCUGUCGUCAGCUCGUGUCGUGAGAUGUUGGGUUAAGUCCCGCAACGAGCGCAACCCCCGUCGCAUGUUGCCAGCAUUUAGUUGGGGACUCAUGCGAGACUGCCGGUGACAAGCCGGAGGAAGGCGGGGAUGAGGUCAAGUCAUCAUGCCCCUUAUGUCCAGGGCUACACACGUGCUACAUUGGCGCGUACAGAGGGCUGCGAUACCGCGAGGUGGAGCGAAUCCCUCAAAGCGCGUCUCGGUUCGGAUUGCAGGCUGAAACCCGCCUGCAUGAAGGCGGAGUUGCUAGUAAUCGCGGAUCAGCAUUGCCGCGGUGAAUACGUUCCCGGGCCUUGUACACACCGCCCGU
rnacentral:rRNA from 1 species